GGGGGCGACCGGUUUCGACCGGAUGGCUGCGGUGGCGGUGGCAUGCCCAGGACGCUCACUUGGCCUGGAUAAAAUGUGAGCAAACAUUAACUGCCAACGACAGUGAUGUUGCCGGGCGCGUCGGCUUCGGCGCUCCCGUGUUCGCAAUGGCCGCCUAAUUCACAGGUGGUCUCGGCACAGUCGGGAGGCUUGCGACCGGCUGGCCGCCAACAGCAAGCUGGCUACGCGACUCGGACGUUGGUCGCGCAGUGAGAUUCAGACGUCUGGUUCCCGAUGAAGGAUGACGGUGCUCGUCAUCGGGGACGAGAACAAAGCACCGUCUAAGCAUGUAGAGGCCGACACUGACGUCGUCUCGGGACGGGGGUUCGAUUCCCCCCGCCUCCAGAU
rnacentral:tmRNA from 1 species